AGAGUUUGAUCCUGGCUCAGGACGAACGCUGGCGGCGUGCUUAACACAUGCAAGUCGAACGGUGAAGUCCCUUCGGGGGCGGAUCAGUGGCGAACGGGUGAGUAACACGUGGGUAAUCUGCCCCCCACUGUGGGAUAACUCCGGGAAACCGGGGCUAAUACCGCAUAUGAAGCCUGGCGGCAUCGCCGGGUUUGGAAAGUUUUUCGGUGAGGGAUGAGCCCGCGGCCUAUCAGCUUGUUGGUGAGGUAAUGGCUCACCAAGGCGACGACGGGUAGCCGGCCUGAGAGGGCGACCGGCCACACUGGGACUGAGACACGGCCCAGACUCCUACGGGAGGCAGCAGUGGGGAAUAUUGGGCAAUGGGCGAAAGCCUGACCCAGCGACGCCGCGUGCGG
rnacentral:rRNA from 1 species